rnacentral:rRNA from 1 species
CUGUCUGAAUAUGGGGGGACCAUCCUCCAAGGCUAAAUACUCCUGACUGACCGAUAGUGAACCAGUACCGUGAGGGAAAGGCGAAAAGAACCCCGGCGAGGGGAGUGAAAAAGAACCUGAAACCGUGUACGUACAAGCAGUGGGAGCCCCACCACUAAGCCAGUGGUGAACUCCACAUCCGCAUCCUUUGCUGAGGAUACGGUUAACGGAGCGAAAGCGACGUUCAACCGCAAAACAAGCAGAGGGGGCUUAGUGGUGGGGUGACUGCGUACCUUUUGUAUAAUGGGUCAGCGACUUAUAUUCUGUAGCAAGGUUAACCGAAUAGGGGAGCCGGAGGGAAACCGAGUCUUAAUUGGGCGUUAAGUUGCAGGGUAUAGACCCGAAACCCGGUGAUCUAGCCAUGGGCAGGUUGAAGGUUGGGUAACACUAACUGGAGGACCGAACCGACUAAUGUUGAAAAAUUAGCGGAUGACCUGUGGCUGGGGGUGAAAGGCCAAUCAAACCGGGAGAUAGCUGGUUCUCCCCGAAAGCUAUUUAGGUAGCGCCUCGUGAAUUCAUCUCCGGGGGUAGAGCACUGUUUCGGCUAGGGGGCCAUCCCGGCUUACCAACCCGAUGCAAACUGCGAAUACCGGAGAAUGUUAUCACGGGAGACACACGGCGGGUGCUAACGUCCGUCGUGAAGAGGGAAACAACCCAGACCGCCAGCUAAGGUCCCAAAGUCAUGGUUAAGUGGGAAACGAUGUGGGAAGGCCCAGACAGCCAGGAUGUUGGCUUAGAAGCAGCCAUCAUUUAAAGAAAGCGUAAUAGCUCACUGGUCGAGUCGGCCUGCGCGGAAGAUGUAACGGGGCUAAACCAUGCACCGAAGCUGCGGCAGCGAACGUAUCACCCAAGACAACUUUACGGAGUUGACGAUUGACGGAGCGAAGCGACGUCAAAGCGUUCAUUAAAGUCGAGUUGGCUUAGGGAUACGUUCGUUGGGUAGGGGAGCGUUCUGUAAGCCUGUGAAGGUGUGUCGUGAGGC